rnacentral:rRNA from 1 species
AUUGAACGCUGGCGGCAGGCCUAACACAUGCAAGUCGAACGGUAACAGGAAGCAGCUUGCUGCUUUGCUGACGAGUGGCGGACGGGUGAGUAAUGUCUGGGAAACUGCCUGAUGGAGGGGGAUAACUACUGGAAACGGUAGCUAAUACCGCAUAACGUCGCAAGACCAAAGAGGGGGACCUUCGGGCCUCUUGCCAUCGGAUGUGCCCAGAUGGGAUUAGCUAGUAGGUGGGGUAACGGCUCACCUAGGCGACGAUCCCUAGCUGGUCUGAGAGGAUGACCAGCCGCACUGGAACUGAGACACGGUCCAGACUCCUACGGGAGGCAGCAGUGGGGAAUAUUGCACAAUGGGCGCAAGCCUGAUGCAGCCAUGCCGCGUGUAUGAAGAAGGCCUUCGGGUUGUAAAGUACUUUCAGCGGGGAGGAAGGGAGUAAAGUUAAUACCUUUGCUCAUUGACGUUACCCGCAGAAGAAGCACCGGCUAACUCCGUG